GACGCAACGCGCUGAACCUUACCAGCCCUUGACAUGUCCAGGACCGGCACCAGAGAUGGAGCCUUCUCUUCGGAGCCUGGAGCACAGGUGCUGCAUGGCUGUCGUCAGCUCGUGUCGUGAGAUGUUGGGUUAAGUCCCGCAACGAGCGCAACCCCCGUCUUUAGUUGCUACCAUUUAGUUGAGCACUCUAAAGAGACUGCCGGUGAUAAGCCGCGAGGAAGGUGGGGAUGACGUCAAGUCCUCAUGGCCCUUACGGGCUGGGCUACACACGUGCUACAAUGGCGGUGACAAUGGGAUGCUAAGGGGCGACCCCUCNNAAAUAUCAAAAAGCCGUCUCAGUUCGGAUUGGGCUCUGCAACUCGAGCCCAUGAAGUUGGAAUCGCUAGUAAUCGUGGAUCAGCAUGCCACGGUGAAUACGUUCCCGGGCCUUGUACACACCGCCCGUCACACCAUGGGAGUUGGUUCUACCUGAAGGCAGUGCGC
rnacentral:rRNA from 1 species